rnacentral:rRNA from 1 species
GAGCUCAGGCUGAAAAUCCCUCGGGAGUUGUAGUCUGUAGGCGUAGCACUGCACCGGAAGCGGACGCAAGUUCCCACGAGUGGGACUGCCAAGGAGGGUGAUAGCCCCGUACCGUCCGUGAAAGGGUCACAGUGCAUCGCCGACGAGUCGGGAUGCUUGGGAAUGCAUUCCUAAGUGGGUGGUAUGUCCCAUCUAAAGCUAAAUACGGGCAAGAGACCGAUAGCGAACAAGUACUGUGAAGGAAAGAUGAAAAGCACUUUGAAAAGAAGGUUAAAAGAGCUUGAAAUUGCUGAAAGGGAAGUGAUUGGCUCCAGUACGGCCUCUGAGGCGUUUACGCCGAGGCUGGCCGGUCAGCAUCGGCUGACGCUGUGCGAGAGCGCUCAAGCAAGGUGGCCCGCUCCGGCGGGUGUUAUAGGCUUGGGUACGCGGCGCGGUGUCGGCCGAGGGAAGCGCCCCACUUACGACUAUAGACCAACCGUCCGUCCCAUCCGUGCUUGCACGGUAAGGCGCCGGAGAACUCGAACUGUCGCGUGGGGCGAAGAUGCUGACGAAAUGGGGUCAAUCAGCCCGUCUUGAAACACGGACCAAGGAGUCUGACAUAUGUGCGAGUACUCCGGUGGAAAACCGCAGUGCGCAAUGAAAGUACAUCGAUGGGACCUUCGGGGCACCAUCGGCCGGUUUGCGGGCCACGGUCCGCGGGCUGCGUCAGAGCAGAUAUGUUGGGACCCGAAAGAUGGUGAACUAUGCCUGGGUAGGGCGAAGCCAGGGGAAACCCUGGUGGAGGCUCGAAGCGAUUCUGACGUGCAAAUCGAUCGUCAAACCUGGGUAUAGGGGCGAAAGACUAAUCGAACCAUCUAGUAGCUGGUUCCCUCCGAAAUUUCCCUUAGGAUAGCUGCAACUGUAUCCAGUUUUAUCAGGUAAAGCGAAUGAUUAGAGGAUUCUGGGGCGGAAUGCCCUGGACCUAUUCUCAAACUUUAAAUGGGUAAGAAGGACGGCCUUACUUUGAUGAAGGCCGACCGCGAAUGGAAGUUGUUAGUGGGCCAUAGCAGGUAAGCUGCUACGGCGAUGCGGGAUGAACCGAACGUGGUGUUAAAGCGCCGGACUGUCCGCUCAUCAGAUCCCACAAAAGGUGUUGGUUCAUUUAGACAGCAGGACGGUGGCCAUGGAAGUUGGAAUCCGCUAAGGAGUGUGUAACAACUCACCUGCCGAAUGAAUUAGCCCUGAAAAUGGAUGGCGCUGUAGCGGGCGGCUUAUACACCACCACCGGGCCAGGAUGGACGGCCCGGUGAGUAGGAGGGCGUGGCGCUCGCGGAGACGGCUUGGGCGUGAGCCCGGCUCGAGCGGGCGCUAGUGCAGAUCUUGGUGGUAGUAGCAAAUAUUCAAAUGAGAACUUUGAAGGCCGAAGUGGAGAAAGGUUUGGUGGGAACAGCAGUUGGCCAUCAGUGAGCCGCUCCUAAGAGAUAGGGUAAUGCCGUUCGGAAGUGGGCGUCUCGCACGCCCCGCCUAUCGAAAGGGAACCAGGUUUAUAUUCCUGGGCCACGUAGGAGACAGGUGGCAACACGCACGAGCUAGGAGACGUCGGAGGGAGCCCCGGGGAGAGUUCUCUUUUCUUGUUAACAGCUUAUUUCCCUGGAAUCGGUUCGCCCGGAGAUAGGGGUGUAUGGCUGGAAUAGCUGUCGCGCUUAGCGAUGGUCCGGUGCGCUCUCGACGGCCCUUGAAAACCCUAGCGAGGUACCUUGUGUUAGUCUCACGCGUGGGCGUACUCAUAACCGCAUCAGGUCUCCAAGGUUAGCAGCCUCUGGUCGAUAGAA